UACGUAGGGUGCGAGCGUUAAUCGGAAUUACUGGGCGUAAAGCGUGCGCAGGCGGUUCUCCAAGUCCGUUGUGAAAGCCCCGGGCUCAACCUGGGAAUGGCAGUGGAAACUAGGGGACUGGAAUCUGGCAGAGGGGGGUGGAAUGCCGCGUGUAGCAGUGAAAUGCGCAGAUAUCAGGAGGAACACCGAUGGCGAAGGCAGGUCUCUGGGCAUUAACUGACGCUGAGGAGCGAAAGCAUGGGGAGCGAACAGG
rnacentral:rRNA from 1 species